rnacentral:lncRNA from 1 species
CUAUGGAGACAUCUUUGGGGAGUGCUCCAUCUGAAUACCAAGUCCUCUCGAUGCACCUACAAGUGGCAAAACAGAAUAGGAUAUUAGUUGUCCAGCACUGCCCUGCUGAACCUUUUGCUGCUCCUGCUGCUCUUCUAUGCCAUCUCGCCUUUGGAGAACUGAAUUUUUAUCAAAGAUGACAUCCCUACCAAUGACAACCUUCUUCUCUAAGGGAUCCUAUAGUCGGUAUCUCUUAACUCCUCACGGAUAUCUAAAGAACACCAUCUUUUGUGACCUGGCAUCUAAUUUACUCUGCUC